rnacentral:misc_RNA from 1 species
AAAAUAAAAAUAAAAAUAAAAAUACAACACUUUUUUUUUUCUUCUCUCUUUCUUUUCUUUUUUGAACUUUCAAAGGAACACUAGGUGUUUUCAUUCCAAUGCCUUGACUUCCUAUGGUUGUAUUGAAUGCUUUGGAGUAAAAAGCACGGAGGAUUCUGAAUGUGGACUUGAAUACUUUUGAAUGCUUCCAUUUUCACGGCUCUUGAAACAAAUUAAAUACCUUAAAAUUGGCAAACGAAAACUAAUAAACGCCAAACCCAAAAGAUGCGCAGAUGUGAAAUCCUUUCAAUGGCUUCCGUCUCAUUGUUUCUGCUUCUCCCCUUAUUUUUCACAGCUUCAGCUCAACAAAGACAAUCCAAUAUAAGAUUAGAUUCUUCCCUCACCCCCACCACUAACUCCUCAUGGUUAUCACCGUCGGGUCUUUACGCCUUUGGAUUCUAUCCACAAGGCAAUGGUUAUGGUGUUGGUGUUUUUCUUGCUGGAAUUCCUCAGAAAACGGUUGUCUGGACUGCCAACCGGGAUGAUCCACCAGUAAAUAGCAGUGCUACCUUGCUCUUUACCAGCGAUUCUGGGCUUGUGUUGCAAGAACAAGGCCAAACCACUUCAGUUAUUUCUAUCCCACAGUCAGCUUCUUCAGCUUCCUUGUUUGAUUCAGGCAAUUUUGUGCUCUACACAGCUGAUCGUGAUAUAAUAUGGCAGAGUUUUGAGCACCCAACUGAUACUCUUUUGCCUUCUCAACGUCUUGAAACUGGUUCGGAGCUGGUUUCCGCUGCUUCACAAAAUGACCACUCAGCAGGAAUUUUUCGGCUUGCUAUGCAAGAUGAUGGACACCUUGUUCAGUAUCCGGUGGGAACUCCUUUGACUGCUGAACAUUCUUAUUGGGCAUCCGGUACAAAUGGACAGGGAAAUAAUGUGACACUAAAUCUUGGUCAUGAUGGCCAUCUCUACUUGCUUAAUUCCACCGGUGUCAACAUAAAGAACCUCACAAAAGGAGGGUAUCCCACAAAAGAUUCAAUUUACGCUAUGAGAAUUGAUUUUGAUGGGAUAUUCAGAUUGUACUUUUACAAUCUGACACAGAAUGGAAACUGGUCAGUUUUGUGGUCAUCCACAAAUAAUAAGUGCGCUCCCAAGGGACUCUGCGGUUUUAAUAGCUAUUGUGUUUUAAAUGAUCAGGAACCUCAAUGUCUUUGUCUUCCACAAUUUACACAUGUUGUUCAGAAUAAUUGGACUGCUGGAUGUGAGAGGAAUUUCUUUCCUGAAAGUUGCAAAGAUGAUAAUGGAGACAUCAGAAUUCAAGAACUCACCAAUACUGUAUGGGAAGACAAUCCAUAUUCCGUUCUCUUCUUAUCUAUCAAAGAAGAUUGUGAGAGAGCCUGCUUGGAGGACUGUGACUGUGUUGCUGCAUUUUUUAAGGAUAGGCAGUGCAAAAAGCAGAGGCUUCCUUUGAGAUAUGGGAAAAGAGAUAUGGGUGACUCAAAUUCAGCUUUGAUCAAGGUGGGCAAAUCUAUAUCCACCACCACAGAUAGAGUUGAGCCUGGAAAGAAAAAGAGUGAUCAGCUUGGAAGGGGCAUCCUAAUUGCCAGUGUUUCAAUUGUUGCCCUUGGGCUUGUUAUGUUGGCAAUAUCUGGCAUUCUGUUAUAUAAAUCUCGUGCACAGCCAUACAAAAGAAUAAAUGCAAAUGAGAAUAUUGUAUUAUGUGAGGAAGUUGCUCCCCGAUCUUUCACUUUUGCAGAACUAGAAGAGAUAACAGAUGGUUUCAGGGAAGAAAUCGGCAGAGGUUCAUUUGGGACAGUUUAUAAAGGGCUAGUAUCGAGGACCCAGAAAGUUGCAGCUGUCAAGAGACUAGAAGGAGUUGCAUCUCAAGGGGAAAAAGAAUUCCAAACUGAAGUGAAGGUUAUUGGAAAAACACAUCACAAGAAUCUAGUACGCCUACUCGGUUAUUGCAACGAAGGACCUAAUAGGCUCUUGGUAUAUGAGUACAUGAGCAAUGGUUCCCUUGCUGACUUGCUCUUCUCUCCUGAAAAAAGACCUUGUUUUACAGAAAGAGUGGAGAUUGCUCGCAAUAUAGCAAGGGGUAUCCUCUAUCUACAUGAAGAGUGCGAGACACAGAUCAUCCAUUGUGAUAUAAAACCAGAGAACAUACUGAUAGAUGAAUACAGGUCUCCAAAAAUUUCUGAUUUUGGAUUGGCAAAGCUGCUGAAGCCGGACCAAACGAAAACUUUCACAGGAAUUAGAGGAACAAGAGGAUAUGUUGCACCAGAAUGGCAUCGUAAGCUUCCUGUUACAGUUAAAGCUGAUGUUUAUAGUUUCGGAAUUGUGUUAUUGGAGAUCGCAUGUUGUAGAAGGAAUGUGGAUCAAAAUCUUCCAGAGAUUGAAUCCAUACUUGUGGAUUGGGUUUACCAUUGUUUUGAGGCUGGUGAAAUGGAUAAAUUGGUUGGUGAUGAGGAAGUGGACAAGAGACUAAUGGAUAGAAUGAUCAAAGUGGGGCUUUGGUGCACUCUGGAUGAACCGUCCAUCCGCCCUUCCAUGAAGAAGGUUCUUUUGAUGUUGGAAGGGACAGUUGACAUCCCAGUACCACCAAGUCCUACUUCUUUUCUUACUUGCAUUUAAGAUUUGUGUUUUUGGUCUCUGCUUUUCUUUAGUCGUCAGUUAGUAAGUUGAAGUUACAGUUCGUUGCUUGCUUUAAAUUUAUAAUUAUCAGAGUCUAUCUAGUACAAAAAGCUGUAAUGAAAAAGGUUGGAAAUUUCACUUACGCUUUUUGAACUUGUCACUCCUCAUGUUAAUGGUUACAGUUUGAAUCCUAUCAUUAAUCACCAAAUGUAAACUUUCACAUUAUAUAAUUCAAGCUCCCCUAAGG